CCGCGGAUAUACACGGGCAGAACACCCCCUCCCUAACGUAUCUCCUUCUUUCUUUCUUCUCAAACCAGAAAACAACUAACUUUUCACCAUCAAAACCAGCCUUGAAGCUCCAGUAUUUCAGCCAUCAAAAUCAGUUUAAAACAUAUCAAAACAAGCUUGAAAAUAGCUCCGUUUCUUCAGUCAAAACGACCUCUAAAAUAGCAGCAAAAACCUGUUGCAAACAGCCAUAAAAUCCACCCCUAACACCACCAAAAAAUGAGCCAAAAGAUCUGCUGAAAUCGGCUAAAAGAAAAUGGAACAGAUGCGUUUGGAUUUUCG
rnacentral:lncRNA from 1 species